AGCCUGUGAUGACAAAUUAAUAAACUUUUCUGACACCUACUAUGAGAGCUGACCUGCAGCUCCUGAUUCUAACUUUAUUCUGAGGCUC
ensembl:snoRNA small nucleolar RNA SNORD60